AGUCACUAUUUACAGACAGAGAAUCAUCUCCUAAACUCCUUGACUAGUGCUUGUCAAGUGGACACAUGCUGUAAACAUUAAUGCAUUAAAGGCGGACAGCAGUGCCGUUUAAAAGACGCUUCUACUGAGCCAACUACAGCAGGAUACAAAUCUGACCAACAAGUUACACCAAAAUAACAGAAUAAUCCCACAAACAGGCACGUUAACAUGCCGGCUAAAUGGACAACAUACAGCCAGUAGUUGGCUAUAUUUUUAUGUUGACUCCGGAGGGAUUUGAACCGAGUUCCAUGGGAAAAACAACAAGUAAAGCCCGAGACUUGAACAUAAAGAACAGCUCUGCUCAUAGGGUGAGUUUACAGGGGUUGUGUGGGUUGUAAACCUAUUCUGCCACUAUGGACUUUUGAUCCCACAGCCAUUACAACCAGUUCUAUUCGAGUCAGCCGAUACCAACUGGUGCCCCUCUGAAGUGCCCACUAGAUCCCCGCUGGACGGACGAGAGGGUUGUGGGGUCCGGCCCAGACCCAGCCCAGGGGAACAGACCCUUUCCAUGGCAACUUCCGACUGCAGCACAACUAUUCAAAUUCCAGGCUCGUCCUCGCUAACUAGCUGGGCAGCUCCCAACUAAAAAGACAAUGUUCCCAUUGUCUGGAACUUGUAGUUUAAUGGAGUCGUCAGGCCCUCCCAGUCGUGAUUAGCUCAGGUGAAAAAAAGACUACACGUCGGAAGGCUGCGGAGCGCAAGGCGCCUGCGCAGUGCGCGUUCCUUAAAGAUCGGGAAGCCUUGGGGAUUUUGGGUUGUAAAUGCGUUAAUACAACGACCGGUGGCUGUGAUGUACGUGUACUACUGAACGGAAGGCCCAUACACGGAGUAUACAUGCAGUAUGCGUUCUCUCGGAGCGCUAUCUCGGGGUAAACCCGGCCGUAGUAUCGGGCUGUUGACUGCGCUGACUGAAGUUCGUUCGCCUCCUCACGAUGUUCGCUUCGCUGGCCCAGCGGACUCGUUAGUUUACAACAUCGUUUAACACCCCACCGCGGUACAAACCACCACUGUGGACGGAAAACAUCAGGACACAUAUCAUACCUGGCGAAGCUUUCUGGUUUUCGUGAACUUAAAUCCUGUUUCGGUAAUAGUGGGUCCGUUGAAGGAGCGCUCUGUGGCCGCCUGCUUACCGCUGCGCUGCCAGGAAUGCUUCGGCUCAAACGAAACACGGCUCACACGCUCACUGCGCAUGCGCGACCACGCUCGAUGCACCAGGCUGAUAGUAACGCAGGGGGCGCUGUUCAAUGGUCCGACGUCUCCACCUCCGGGAUGCGUGUGCUAACGAAAUUGAUGAUUCUACCCAGACGGUCUGUUUGCAGCCAGCGGCAGAAGAUCGGUGGUGAUGCGGCAGAAUGAGUGGACAGCAUGAGUGGACAGCGCCCCCCUGUGGGAGUCCUGUAUAAUGCAACAUGUGUUUCUAUUGGACCGCUGGUCGGGUUAUUCUUUCUAUAUACUUGGAAAGAAAUGGGGGAUGAUUGGGAUCGGAAAUCCCACUUCGUUACCCUCAUUGCGUAAUUGUAUUAGUCAUAUUUUGACAAAAUUGUGAUAACUGCCUAACUCUCCUCUCUAACGCUGCUGGUUGAUUCUUCCUCAUUGGCUAUGUCUAUAUAUUGGCAGUAUCUGGUCCAUCUUAAUGUGACAGUGUAAAUAAAGAAAUCCUGUGUUUGCCAGUUAUGCUAUGAGGCGAACGAGAUGAGGCCUCCAUGUUUUUCUUAUGAAGUUCAUGAAUUACAGUCCUAUAUUCUGAACAGGAUAAAAAAAGUUCUAAACAACGCUUAAAUGAAUUGCACUACACCAUUUUAUUUGUACAACCACAUGUAGUGAAGCUUGAAAGUGACUUGAUGUGUCAACAUUUUCCCGCAUUGAAAACUUGGUUUAUAAGCAUUUUAAGAUAAUAUCUCAUUACACGAAUCCAGGUUAUCCUCCACUUCAGUUUGAGGAGACGCUAUAUAGAAACCAUGAAGGCAGUACUGUUGAUCAGUCACCAGGGGGCAGUAUUGCAUCAGAUACAGGGAGUGGAUUAAUGUUAUUAUUAUCAUCUCCCUUAUUUCUUUAUGGAUUAUAUUUUUGAAAUUGUGCACAUUUUUUAAUUUUACAUAACAGUAGAGGAACAUGUACAAGUGUAAGGUUCUAGGUAGUAAGGCAGU
ensembl:lncRNA